ensembl:snRNA U6 U6 spliceosomal RNA
GUGCUAACCUUGAGUACAUACACUAAAAUUGGAAUAAUAUAGAGAUGAUUAUCAUGGUACGAUGCAAGGAUAACACACAAACUCAUGAAGCAUUCCCCAUUUUU